GCGCGGCUGGUGGGCAUCGGCGCGCCGGGUUCGCCGCUGCAGUCGGUGGCCGAGCGCUACCGCGCCCCGUUCAUCCCGGUGCCGCGCC
rnacentral:tRNA from 1 species